rnacentral:tRNA from 1 species
GGAGGCGUCACAUAGUGGUUUAGUGUACCACCUUGGAAAGGUGGCGUGUCUUAACCGGCACCGUGAGUUCGAAUCUCACCGCCUCCG